AUUGAACGCUGGCGGCAUGCCUUACACAUGCAAGUCGAACGGUAACAGGUUAAGCUGACGAGUGGCGAACGGGUGAGUAAUGUAUCGGAACGUGCCCAGUCGUGGGGGAUAACUGCUCGAAAGAGCAGCUAAUACCGCAUACGACCUGAGGGUGAAAGCGGGGGAUCGCAAGACCUCGCGCGAUUGGAGCGGCCGAUAUCAGAUUAGGUAGUUGGUGAGGUAAAGGCUCACCAAGCCGACGAUCUGUAGCUGGUCUGAGAGGACGACCAGCCACACUGGGACUGAGACACGGCCCAGACUCCUACGGGAGGCAGCAGUGGGGAAUUUUGGACAAUGGGCGCAAGCCUGAUCCAGCCAUGCCGCGUGCGGGAAGAAGGCCUUCGGGUUGUAAACCGCUUUUGUCAGGGAAGAAAAGGUUCUGGCUAAUACCUGGGACUCAGGACGGUACCUGAAGAAUAAGCACCGGCGAACUACGU
rnacentral:rRNA from 1 species